AAUCAACGCUGGCGGCGUGCCUCAGACAUGCAAGUCGAACGAUUAAAGCUCUCUUCGGAGAGUGUAUAGAGUGGCGCACGGGUGAGUAACACGUAAGUAAUCUACCCUCGAGUGGGGAAUAACAACCGGAAACGGUUGCUAAUACCGCAUAAUGCAGCGGCACCGCAAGGUGACAGUUGUUAAAGAUUUAUCGCUUGAGGAGGAGCUUGCGGCAGAUUAGCUAGUUGGUAGGGUAACGGCUUACCAAGGCUACAAUCUGUAACCGGUCUAAGAGGACGGUCGGUCACACUGACACUGAAUAACGGGUCAGACUCCUACGGGAGGCAGCAGUCGGGAAUUUUGGGCAAUGGGCGAAAGCCUGACCCAGCAACGCCGCGUGAAGGAUGAAAUCCUUCGGGAUGUAAACUUCGCAAAUAUAGGAAGAACUCAAUGACGGUACUAUAUGUAAGCCCCGGCUAACUCCGUGCCAGCAGCCGCGGUAAGGAUGAGACGU
rnacentral:rRNA from 1 species